UACAGAGGGGGCAAGCGUUGUUCGGAAUUACUGGGCGUAAAGGGCGCGUAGGCGGCCUGUUAAGUCGAACGUGAAAUCCCCGGGCUCAACCCGGGAACUGCGUCCGAUACUGGCAGGCUUGAAUCCGGGAGAGGGAUGCGGAAUUCCAGGUGUAGCGGUGAAAUGCGUAGAUAUCGGGAGGAACAUCAGUGGCGAAGGCGGCCUUCUGGUCCAGUACUGACACUCAAGUGCGAAAGCGUGGGGAGCAAACAGG
rnacentral:rRNA from 1 species